CUCAACAUUCAGAAAACGAAGAUCAUGGCAUCCGGUCCCAUCGUUUCCAGGGCAAACAGAUGGGGAAGCAGUGGAAACAGUGGCUGACUUUAUUUUGGGGGCUCUAAAACCACUGCAGCUUUCUUUUGCUUCUAAAUCAGAUCAGAGAGGAGUGUUCUACAGUGAGAGAACCCAAGGGAGAGAGGAGGAGGUCAAAUCUCUUGGGGAAAGCAAUGCUCAAUAUAAGAAUAACACAAGCAUCAAAUCCAAAAAGUAACAUUCAGAUCGAGUCAAUAACUGAUGAAAUAAUGAAAAGUGCCACAGUGGUAAAGAAUCCACCUGCCAAUGCAGGAGAUGCAGGAGACACAGGAGACAGGGUUUGGAUCCCUGGCUUGGGAAGAUACUCUGCAGUAGGAAAUGGCAGCCCACUCCAGUAUUCUUGCCUGGAAAAUCCCAUGGACAGAGGAUCCUGAAGGACUACGGUCCAUGGGGUCACAAAGAAUUGAACAUGAGAUUGACUGAGCAUGCUCACAAUAUUCCAUUGUGUGUGUGUGUGUACAUAUAGCACAUUAUCUUGAUCCAUGCAUCUGUCAAUAAACAUUUAGGUUGCUUCUAUGUCUUGGCUAUGAGUCAUUUAUUUCUGAAAUAGCAAAUGUAGAAGCAGAAUAUUACAUGCUCCGUGCUCCACAUCACACUUGCAAAGUUUUAUUAACUUGUAUACAUUUUAUGACAUCCCUGAUUUUCUU
ensembl:lncRNA